UACGUAGGGACCAAGCGUUGUUCGGAUUUACUGGGCGUAAAGGGCGCGUAGGCGGCGCGGUAAGUCACUUGUGAAAUCUCUGAGCUUAACUCAGAACGGCCAAGUGAUACUGCAGUGCUAGAGUGUGGAAGGGGCAAUCGGAAUUCUUGGUGUAGCGGUGAAAUGCGUAAAUAUCAAGAGGAACACCUGAGGUGAAGACGGGUUGCUGGGCCAACACUGACGCUGAUGCGCGAAAGCCAGGGGAGCAAACGGG
rnacentral:rRNA from 1 species